CUUAAUUAUAGUUAACUUUAAUCACUUUUUUAUACAACCGGCCCCUGGUCUACGGCAAAAAUUGGCAGGUAUACGCCUUCGUCUUCGUACUUCGUUGUCUUGCUCAAACUCUCUAUUGACAAUUUUCCGACAGGUCUCAAUUUUCCGACGGGUCUCCCACCCCCCGUCCCCUCCGGCCACGGCGCCACUGCCUGAGCCUGCAUUAAAAAUUCACUUGUAAAAAAAACCAGAUUGGUUUAAACUUCAUCUAACCCUCAUUUAAUACAUAUUGAAAUAAUUAGGGUUAGAAAAGGUAUGUGUUUCAAGCUAGCUGUGUGCCGCAAAUAAGCGAACAAGUGAUUUUAGGUUUCACACCGAUGCCCAGCAAAGCAUAUAUUCUACAGAAUUUUUGCAUUAUUGACAGCAUGAAGCUAUAUAAUCAAGGAUUCCC